rnacentral:tRNA from 1 species
GCCCCGGUGGCUUAGCCCGGUAGAGCGCCCUGGGGUACAGCCCCGCGUAGGCCUUGUAGGCCUAUGACCAAGACAGCGGGAGGUCCCGGGUUCGAAUCCCGGCCGGGGCU